GGGUUUUUUAUUUUAUACUUCAAAUCUUGAAUUUAUUUUUUAUGUUUUUUAAAUGUUUAUUUUUUUGAAUGUUUGAUUUAAAAAAAUAAACAUUUAAAAAACAUAAAAAAUAAAAUAGAUAUUGACAUGGAUUAAACAAAGAUAUAUAUUAUUCUAUGUUGCAUAAACAAAUUGGCAAAGUAG
rnacentral:misc_RNA from 1 species